rnacentral:rRNA from 1 species
CUUGCUCUCUAGGCGUCGAGUGGCGGACGGGUGAGUAAUGCUUAGGAAUCUACCCAAUAGUUGGGGACAACAUGUGGAAACGCAUGCUAAUACCGAAUGUGCUCUACGGAGUAAAGGUGGCCUCUACUUGUAAGCUAUCGCUAUUGGAUGAGCCUAAGUGAGAUUAGCUUGUUGGUAAGGUAAAAGCUUACCAAGGCGACGAUCUCUAGCUGGUUUGAGAGGAUGAUCAGCCACACUGGGACUGAGACACGGCCCAGACUCCUACGGGAGGCAGCAGUGGGGAAUAUUGCACAAUGAGGGAAACCUUGAUGCAGCCAUGCCGCGUGUGUGAAGAAGGCCCGAGGGUUGUAAAGCACUUUCAAUUGGGAGGAAGGUAGUAUCGCUAAUAUCGAUAUUGCUUGACGUUACCUUUAGAAGAAGCACCGGCUAACUCUGUGCCAGCAGCCGCGGUAAUACAGAGGGUGCAAGCGUUAUUCGGAAUUACUGGGCGUAAAGCGCGCGUAGGCGGACUGUUAAGUCGGUUGUGAAAGCCCUGGGCUCAACCUGGGAACUGCAUCCGAUACUGGCAAUCUAGAGUUUAAGAGAGGGAAGGGGAAUUCCUAGUGUAGCAGUGAAAUGCGUAGAUAUUAGGAGGAACAUCAGUGGCGAAGGCGCCUUCCUGGCUUAAAACUGACGCUGAGGUGCGAAAGCGUGGGUAGCG